GACGAACGCUGGCGGCGUGCCUAAUACAUGCAAGUCGAACGAGAAUUUUUUACACCGAGUGCUUGCACUCACCGUAAGAAAUUCGAGUGGCGGACGGGUGAGUAACACGUGGAUAACCUGCCCAAAAGAAGGGGAUAACAUUUGGAAACAAAUGCUAAUACCGUAUAACCAUGAUGACCGCAUGGUCAUUAUGUAAAAGGUGGUUUUGCUAUCGCUUUUGGAUGGACCCGCGGCGUAUUAACUAGUUGGCAGGGUAACGGCCUACCAAGGUGACGAUACGUAGCCGAGUUGAGAGACUGAUCGGCCACAAUGGGACUGAGACACGGCCCAUACUCCUACGGGAGGCAGCAGUAGGGAAUCUUCCACAAUGGGCGCAAGCCUGAUGGAGCAACGCCGCGUGAAUGAAGAAGGUCUUCGGAUCGUAAAAUUCUGUUGUUAGAGAAGAAUAUGAGUAAUAGUAACUGAUUAUUCACUGACGGUAUCUAACCAGCAAGUCACGGCUAACUACGUGCCAGCAGCCGCGGUAA
rnacentral:rRNA from 1 species